rnacentral:lncRNA from 1 species
AAAAAAAAGAAAAACCGAAAAUAAAUAAAUAAAAGCCACCAAAAUAAACAGAAAACGGACAACAGAAAAGACCGACCAAAAUAAUGAAACAUAGUGAAAAAUAAAAACACCAAAAAAAACUAAAUAAAACCGAAACAGAAUAGAACAAUAAAAAUAGAAAGAAAACAAACCGAUGCAGAACAGAGAAACAAUUUGAAUACCGACGAAAAUGAAAAAUAAAUCCAAAAGUAAAAUGAAAACAGAUUAAAAACCCGGAGAAGCGAUGCGAAACAGCGGACAUAGGGAAAAACGAUGCUACAGUGUUCGCCAGCUCACAGCGGCUUUUAAGUCCAUCAGGUGAGAGAAGUAGCUCUUCUACUUCAAAAAAAAUUCUGAUUUGAGUAAAUUCGAAAAAUAUUUUGAAAUUGUCAAAAAAACUCUCAUUUUUUAUAACGCAAACUUUGACAAAUGCUUUAAUAGCUUGUAAAAUUUCAGGACGAAAUCAUAUUUUUUGGUGUCAUGAAAAAACAAAUUAGUGCUCCAAAAUACUUUUUAAAGUAGCAUCUUCAGAGUUCUAAUUUUGUCUUUUUUGCCACGACUUACAAAAAUGUGAUUUCAUGAUGAAAUAUUACAAGCGCUUAGAACAUUUGUCAACGUUUUCCCAAAAAUUUCAGAGUUGUUUAAACAUUUUUAUAAUAUUUUUUGAAUUUACUAUUCAUCCGAGCUCAUUUGAGCUCGUGUGCAAAAACAUCAUGUCCGAGUGAACGUAGCCUUUGUAGCCAUUUGGUUCACUGUAGAUUGUUUAGUGCCAGUUUUUUUAGGUUUUACAAUAAAAUUUUAGGUUAGGCUGCAAUAAGCUGGCUAGGAAGUGGCUUAUUUUGACAGUCAUGUGUAAACGCACAGAAAGUGCGACUAAUUAGAACAAAACUUCACUAAAUAUGUCAUAUACUCAUAUCUCAAUGUUUCAGUGUAAAACCCAAUGGUUUUCACUAAUCGGCUGAACCAUGGUCAUGAAAAAUGCCUCUCAAACAAUAAAGCUGAUACAUAACAAGCCGCACGACAACACAAGCAAAAAAGAAAAAG